rnacentral:rRNA from 1 species
UGGGAGGUCACGGGAUACGGCCUCGUUUCGGCGGGGUCCUCGUGGCCGCCAGUGAAAUACCACUACUCUCAUCGUUUCUUUACUUACUCGGUGGAGCGGGAAGCGGACCAAUGAGUUGUCCACGCUUCUAGCGCCAAGCGAUGGGCCCCCGGUCUCCCUUCGGGGUUGUGCCGGUCGGGCCUGCGCGACCUGUUCCGAGGACAGUGUCAGGCGGGGAGUUUGACUGGGGCGGUACAUCUGUCAAACGGUAACGCAGGUGUCCUAAGGCGAGCUCAGCGAGGACAGAAACCUCGCGUAGAGCAAAAGGGCAAAUGCUUGCUUGAUCUUGAAUUUCAGUACGAUUCGAGACCGCGAAAGCGGGGCCCCUCGAUCCUUUUGGCUUUAAGAGUUUUAAGCAAGAGGUGUCAGAAAAGUUACCACAGGGAUAACUGGCUUGUGGCA